AAGUCGUAACAAGGUCUCCGUAGGUGAACCUGCGGAGGGAUCAUUACAGAGAACAUCGCCCGCAAGGGUGACUCUCCAACCCCAUGUUAAUUAUACCUUUGUUGCUUUGGCGAGCCGCUUCGGCCACCGGCUCACGCUGGUGAGUGCUCGCCAGAGGACCCAAAACUCUGUUUAUACAUGUCGUCUGAGUACUAUAUAAUAGUUAAAACUUUCAACAACGGAUCUCUUGGUUCUG
rnacentral:misc_RNA from 1 species